rnacentral:rRNA from 1 species
UACGUAGGGGGCAAGCGUUAUCCGGAUUUACUGGGUGUAAAGGGAGCGUAGGCGGCAGCGCAAGUCUGGAGUGAAAUGCCGGGGCCCAACCCCGGAACUGCUCUGGAAACUGUGAAGCUGGAGUGCAGGAGAGGUAAGCGGAAUUCCUGGUGUAGCGGUGAAAUGCGUAGAGAUUAGGAAGAACACCAGUGGCGAAGGCGAUUCUCUGGACUGUAACUGACGCUGAGGCUCGAAAGCGUGGGGAGCAAACAGG